UACGUAGGCAGCAAGCGUUGUUCGGAGUUACUGGGCGUAAAGGGUGUGUAGGCGGUCUUCUAAGUUUGGUGUGAAAUCUCCUGGCUCAACCGGGAGGGUGCGCCGAAAACUGGAAGGCUAGAGUGUGGAAUGGGAGAGUGGAAUUCCUGGUGUAGCGGUGAAAUGCGUAGAUAUCAGGAGGAACACCUGUGGUGAAGACGGCUCUCUGGACCAUUACUGACGCUGAAACACGAAAGCGUGGGUAGCAAACAGG
rnacentral:rRNA from 1 species